rnacentral:rRNA from 1 species
UGAGGGCGUGCUUUGACUCGUGCCGUGAGGUGUUAGGUUAAGUCCUGCAACGAGCGCAACCCCUGUCACUAGUUGCCAUCAUUAAGUUGGGGACUCUAGUGAGACUGCCUACGCAAGUAGAGAGGAAGGUGGGGAUGACGUCAAAUCAUCACGGCCCUUACGCCUUGGGCCACACACGUAAUACAAUGGCCGGUACAGAGGGCAGCUACACAGCGAUGUGAUGCAAAUCUCGAAAGCCGGUCUCAGUUCGGAUUGGAGUCUGCAACUCGACUCUAUGAAGCUGGAAUCGCUAGUAAUCGCGCAUCAGCCAUGGCGCGGUGAAUACGUUCCCGGGCCUUGUACACACCGCCCGUCAAGCCAUGGAAGUCUGGGGUACCUGAAGUCGGUGACCGUAACAGGAGCUGCCUUUUCCUUACCCAUC